rnacentral:rRNA from 1 species
UACGUAGGAGGCAAGCGUUAUCCGGAUUUAUUGGGCGUAAAGGGAACGCAGGCGGUCUUUUAAGUCUGAUGUGAAAGCCUUCGGCUUAACUGGAGUAGUGCAUUGGAAACUGGGAGACUUGAGUGCAGAAGAGGAGAGUGGAACUCCAUGUGUAGCGGUGAAGUGCGUAGAUAUAUGGAAGAACACCAGUGGCGAAAGCGGCUCUCUGGUCUGUAACUGACGCUGAGGUUCGAAAGCGUGGGUAGCAAACAGG